CAACUCCUCUCUGCAUCUCAAGUUCACUGAUGUACAUGGUAAACUAACUGGACAAACUGGUAACAGUCGGAAAGUCAUCUAUACGGAGACUCGAACCCUGUCAUUGUGGUCUUCUCUCUGCAUCUCAAGUUCUCAGAUGUACAUGGCAAGCUACUGGACAAACUGGUAACAGCGGGAAAGCUGGAGAUAAGCAGUCAGUUGGUCAGCAUGAAAAGGAACGAUGUCACACCACCCUUUUUUAAAGAGGAAAUGCAGCAUAACACAAUUCUGGCUAUACAUAAUUUGCCAUGUUUUGCCAUUUUUAAGGCGAUGGGUUUACUCACUUUUUUUAAGUAAAGUCAAGUAUAAUCACUUUUUGCAGUGUAGCUGUUUUUCAAAUGUACUGCAUGACCGCUAGAACAGAAUGUUCUAUAUAAUAUGAAUGUGGAUAGUAUAAAUGGAACUCACCAACAUUUGUCAUUACCUAUAAGCACAAAGAAAUAAAAUCAUUUACUUUAG